CUCGAUCUUGCGGUCCUACGCUUCACGUUAUUAUUCCAGUCACCAGAUCUUCACCGCCUCUUGGGCUGUGCCCACACACACAUCCCCCUCCCUGCCAUCUUCCACCCCCUUUUUUUUCUCUCGCUUUCGUUUUCCCUCUUUGGUGUGUCCUGUUCGUGCGCCCUUUUUCUUUCCCCACCGAGAUUGUCGCACAAUGCCUGUCUGGAGCCACACAAGAAGAAAAGGAGGAGAAAACCCUUGUUCUUUCCCUUCCUUCCGUGCCAGCACCCCCACCGCCACCGAGCCCUUCCCCUUUUGCCUCGUUCCUCCGUCCACCCCUAUUUUCAUCUCACCACAGGACAGACCCCUUCCGGCACCACCUCGCUGAUCCACUGCCGUCUCCUCCACCUUCGCCAUCUCUCCCACGCUCUCCUCAUCGAUUCUUCUUUCCCCGUCACCGUGCCCACACCCACCGCCGCCCCCACCUUACAAUGUCGCCAUGCCUUUGGUGCACCGCCGGAGACCGUCACACCCCACGGAAGUGUCGCCGUGCCUCAA
rnacentral:lncRNA from 1 species